AGUGAACGCUGGCGGUAGGCCUAACACAUGCAAGUCGAACGGCAGCACAGUAAGAGCUUGCUCUUACGGGUGGCGAGUGGCGGACGGGUGAGGAAUACAUCGGAAUCUACUUUUUCGUGGGGGAUAACGUAGGGAAACUUACGCUAAUACCGCAUACGACCUACGGGUGAAAGCAGGGGAUCUUCGGACCUUGCGCGAUUGAAUGAGCCGAUGUCGGAUUAGCUAGUUGGCGGGGUAAAGGCCCACCAAGGCGACGAUCCGUAGCUGGUCUGAGAGGAUGAUCAGCCACACUGGAACUGAGACACGGUCCAGGCUCCUACGGGAGGCAGCAGUGGGGAAUAUUGGACAAUGGGCGCAAGCCUGAUCCAGCCAUACCGCGUGGGUGAAGAAGGCCUUCGGGUUGUAAAGCCCUUUUGUUGGGAAAGAAAAGCAGCAGGUUAAUACCCCGCUGUUCCGACGGUACCCAAAGAAUAAGCACCGGCUAACUUCGUG
rnacentral:rRNA from 1 species